CCGAGAAUUACAUGGGCGGUAUUUUUUGCUAAUCCGGUCAGGUUCGAAAGAAAGCAGCCGUAACAUAGGAUAUCGGGUCGUGUAAUUCUCCUAAA
rnacentral:SRP_RNA from 1 species